CACGUACUGUGCGAACGUUAUUCGGAAUCACUGGGCUUAAAGGGUACGUAGGCGGCUUUUCAAGUCAGGUGUGAAAGCUCUCGGCUCAACCGAGGAAUUGCGCUUGAAACUGAAAGGCUUGAGUGUCCUAGGGGUGAGCGGAACUUCCAGUGGAGCGGUGAAAUGUGUUGAUAUUGGAAGGAACACCAGUAGCGAAGGCGGCUCACUGGGGGACAACUGACGCUGAGGUACGAAAGCCAGGGUAGCGAACGGG
rnacentral:rRNA from 1 species